rnacentral:rRNA from 1 species
UACGGAGGGUGCGAGCGUUAAUCGGAAUUACUGGGCGUAAAGCGCACGCAGGCGGUUUGUUAAGCAAGAUGUGAAAGCCCCGGGCUCAACCUGGGAACUGCAUUUUGAACUGGCAGACUAGAGUCUUGGAGAGGGGGGUGGAAUUCCAGGUGUAGCGGUGAAAUGCGUAGAGAUCUGGAGGAACAUCAGUGGCGAAGGCGGCCCCCUGGCCAAAGACUGACGCUCAUGUGCGAAAGUGUGGGUAGCGAACAGGAUUAGAUACCCGGGUAGUCC